AUACAUGCAAGUCGUACGCACAGCGAAAGGUGCUUGCACCUUUCAAGUGAGUGGCGAACGGGUGAGUAACACGUGGACAACCUGCCUCAAGGUUGGGGAUAACAUUUGGAAACAGAUGCUAAUACCGAAUAAAACUUAGUGUCGCAUGACACAAAGUUAAAAGGCGCUUCGGCGUCACCUAGAGAUGGAUCCGCGGUGCAUUAGUUAGUUGGUGGGGUAAAGGCCUACCAAGACAAUGAUGCAUAGCCGAGUUGAGAGACUGAUCGGCCACAUUGGGACUGAGACACGGCCCAAACUCUUACGGGAGGCUGCAGUAGGGAAUCUUCCACAAUGGGCGAAAGCCUGAUGGAGCAACGCCGCGUGUGUGAUGAAGGCUUUCGGGUCGUAAAGCACUGUUGUAUGGGAAGAACAGCUAGAAUAGGAAAUGAUUUUAGUUUGACGGUACCAUACCAGAAAGGGACGGCUAAAUACGUGCCAGCAGCCGCGGUAAUACGUAUGUCCCGAGCGUUAUCCGGAUUUAUUGGGCGUAAAGCGAGCGCAGACGGUUUAUUAAGUCUGAUGUGAAAGCCCGGAGCUCAACUCCGGAAUGGCAUGGAAACUGGUAAC
rnacentral:rRNA from 1 species